AUCGCCUUCUUCUUCAGCUCGUCGCUAGUGACCUCUUUCAAUUGGUGGAUUGUCGCCGCCUUCCUCCGCGCUGUCUUCUUCAGCUCGUCGUGGAUUCUCUCGGCCUUCCUCUGCGUCUUCUUCUUCAGCUCGUCGGUGGUGACCUUCAAUUCGUGGAUUCUCGUCACUGAAAGUUGUGUAGAUACUUUUCACUAAGUGAAGAGCAAACGUGAAAGAAGAAAAGAAAACAAAGCUUGGACUAUGGAAUUGUUGGCUGUGGCAUAUUCGUCCCUUGCAGCCAAAAUGGAGGAGAUUAUAUAUAGGUUGGGUUUGCUAGAAUUUUCAGCCACACAGAAGUAUUCUCUUGCAUCUAAUUCAACUUGCAAUGUGGAAGAGGCUGGUGAUCUGUAAGGCAGAAAUGGAGGAAUGUAUAGAUUUGAUAAUGGAAGAAUUAGAGAGAGAAAUAUAACUAAUGCAUGCACCUUUAUCAGUGAAGUUGAUCCCAUAGUAGCAUCCUUAUCUGGAGGAGCAAUUGGAGUGAUCUUAGCACUAACGGUGGUUGAGAAGUAUGGAGUGAGUUGAUAUCCGAUAUUGAAUUUCUUUUUUCCAAAGGGCAACAAGGAUGGUGAAGAGUAUGGUGGAGGCUGAGACUUAAAAGAUUUUGUAAAUUUCAUCAAUGAGAAAUGUGGUCCUAGCAGAGAUGCGAAAGGACAACUUACUUCCAAAGUUAGUACCAUUUUAAACCAAUGAACGUACCUCAUCAGUUUCCUUACCAAUUGUCUUCUCUUAUGCAUGUAGGCUGGAAUAGUCUCAAGUUUGUAAGAGUUAGUGAAAAAGUUUGUGAGCCAGCUUUUAUGAUAUGUAAAACGAUAGCAUAUUCAGCAAACAUUCUAAGAUUGUGAUUACUACUCUUAUCGC